UUGGCUCAGAAGCAGCCACCAUUUAAAGAGUGCGUAAUAGCUCACUGGUCGAGAGACGCUGCGCCGAAAAUGUCCGGGGCUCAAGCACGGAACCGAAGCUAUGGCAUGAUAGCAAUAUCAUGGGUAGGGGAGCGUUCUUAUAAGGAAGAAGCAUGACCGGAAGGACAUGUGGACGAAUAAGAAGUGAGAAUGCCGGUAUGAGUAUCGAAAAGAAAGGUGAGAAUCCUUUCCACCGAAAGCCCGAGGGUUCCUGAGCAACGAUCGUCGACUCAGGGUAAGUCGGGACCUAAGCCGAGGCGAGAAGCGUAGGCGAUGGACAACAGGUUGAAAUUCCUGUACCGGAUCAAGUCGAUCGAGCGAAGGAGCGACGCAGGAGGGCACAUGAUCGCGCGGCUGGAAGAGCGCGUCCAAGUGCGUAUGUUGCAGCAGAGGAAAACCCCUGCAGCUAAAAGCAGAGACAUGAUGGGGAGUUAAAGGAAACUUUGACGAACUCAUGGAUCCCACACUGCCAAGAAAAACUUCUAGCGAGACAAGAUCCGCCCGUACCGUAAACCGACACAGGUAGGCGGGGAGAGAAUCCUAAGGUGCGCGGGAAAACCCUCGUUAAGGAACUCGGCAAAUUGCAUCCGUAACCUAGGGAGAAGGAUGGCCCCCGGUCAGUGAAGAGCAGAAACGCUCAGAGCUAAAAGGGGCGGCAGAAAAGAGGCCCAAGCAACUGUUUACCAAAAACACAGGUGCCUGCGAAAGCGAAAGCUGAAGUAUAGGUGCUGACGCCUGCCCGGUGCCGGAAGGUUAAGGAGAGAAGUUAGCGAAAGCGAAGCAUCGAACUGAAGCCCCGGUGAACGGCGGCCGUAACUAUAACGGUCCUAAGGUAGCGAAAUUCCUUGUCGGGUAAGUUCCGACCCGCAUGAAAGGCGUAAUGAUUUGGGCACUGUCUCAACGAGGGGCCCGGUGAAAUUGAAAUACCUGUGAAGAUGCAGGUUACCCGCGACUGGACAGAAAGACCCCAUGGAGCUUCACUGCAGCUUGAGAUUGAAUCCCGGUGACAGAUGCACAGGAUAGGUGGGAGGCGCCGAAGCAUUGCCCUAGGGCGGUGCGGAGCCGAUGUUGGGAUACCACCCUUCUGUUGCUGAGAUUCUAACGCGAGGAGUAACGACCCUGCGGACCCUCUCAGGCAGGCGGUUUGACUGGGGCGGUCGCCUCCGAAAGAGUAACGGAGGCGCCCAAAGGUUCCCUCAGGCCGGACAGAAACCGGCCGAAGAGUGCAAAGGCAGAAGGGAGCUUGACUGCGAGACCAACAAGUCGAGCAGGGACGAAAGUCGGGCUUAGUGAUCCGGUGGUACUGGGUGGAAAGGCCAUCGCUCAACGGAUAAAAGCUACCCUGGGGAUAACAGGCUAAUCUCUCCCAAGAGUCCAUAUCGACGGGGAGGUUUGGCACCUCGAUGUCGGCUCAUCACAUCCUGGGGCUGGAGUAGGUCCCAAGGGUUGGGCUGUUCGCCCAUUAAAGUGGUACGCGAGCUGGGUUCAAAACGUCGUGAGACAGUUUGGUUCAUAUCCAUCGCGGGCGCAAGAAGUUUGAGAGGAGCUGCUCCUAGUACGAGAGGACCGGAGUGGACGGAUCAACGGUGUCCCAGUUGUCACGCCAGUGGCACGGCUGGAAAGCCGCAUCCGGGAAGGAUAAACGCUGAAAGCAUCUAAGCGUGAAGCCAACCUCAAGAUGAGACUUCUCAUCAGCAAUGAGUAAGACCCCUUACAGACGAUGAGGUAGAUAGGUUAUGAGUGGAAGAGCCGCAAGGCUUGGAGCGACAUAAAACUAAUAGGUCGAGGUCUUAACU
rnacentral:rRNA from 1 species